rnacentral:lncRNA from 13 species
GUCAUUUUGGUCUCUAGCUAGUGUAGUAGUUGGAUAGACAAAGUUACUUCAUGCCUGUCUUCCUCCUCUUUUCCCUGCUAGCUUCCUUCUCUUUUUCUCUGACUGAAAGGGCUGGACAACCAGGGAAAAGGCAACUUGUGCUUUCCCGCAUACCUCUCCCACACCAUACUCCCCCCCACACACAACACACACACAGAUAAACACACACGCAGGAAUCCACCCAGUUGCAUUUUUAAAGCAGGCUUAGGUUCCUGAGUGCCUGUUGCUUCAUUACACGAAUUCCCAAGUUGCAGGACCCACCUUCAGGGGUAUCUUGGUGGAGCACCUCUUGGGAGGUGAUCCGACCUGUUGGUUCAGAAGCACUGCGUGUUUUCACUCUGGAGCGCCUUUGUGCAACAGGAGACCAGCAGACUCCCACGGUCCCACUGGCUCCUUCCACGUAAUGGGCCCCGCUGACUGCCUUGCCUCCCUCGACCCCGGGAUCUGCGUCUUCUGCGCCCCAGUCCCUCAUUGUGCAGCCGGUAGCUGCAGAGCUCUUCGUCCUGUAUUCAUGGCAGAUGCACAGCGAGAGACUGACACGUUCCAGGGACGGCGAAUGGGAGCGAGCGCGGGCGGCCGGGGGAGGGUGUGUAGUGGCAGACGGCCGCUGGGAUUAUGAAUGGGGGCUGGGGGGACGACGAGUGUGGGGUUCAAACUGGGAUUUUCGGUCUCUGGCUUUGGAUAGGCACGCAGCGCUGUGCGUAAUCCUUCAGCUCCCGUGGCAAGGGAGAUGCCAUGAGCUCUCGGCUGGAAGAGAGGGUUAUUUUGUAAAACUCCCUUGGUACCGUGCCCGUGGAAUACUGUAGGAGGUCUGCGAGGUAGGUGGGGGAAGAAAAUAACCUGGAAGGGCAAUCAGGGAGAGGCCAGCCGACUGGGGACGGCGUACUUUGCACCCUAGAAUUGACAGGUGGUCUCAGCAGUUACAACCUACUACACAGCAUCUCGUCCGUGCGAUACGGUCACAUUGUUAUUCCCCGCACCUGGCUGAGGAGCGCAGCGCGGCAGACCAAGUGGCACCGGCGAGCUGUCUCUUCCGGGAGGCGGGGGUGGACAGUAGAGAAAGGGGGUUUUAAAGGGCCAGAAGAGGAGAGAGGAGCUCAGGGGCGCGUCGCCGGCGCCUGUGUCUCUCUCUGGCGCGGGUCCCCAGGCCGGCCCGCCGGCCCGUCCGCGCGCGCGUUCUGCAGUCGUCCCCGGCCCGCGCGCCCCUUCCCAGGGCUCCCGGCCUCGCCUCAGCUGCUGCGGGCUCUUCGUUGCGGGCCGGGCUGCACGAGAGCGCCCUCCGGGCAGACUUUCGUCCCUCCCCCACCCCCCCACCGGGAGCGCGGAAGGUUCGCUCGCAGCGCGUGGUCGAGCCGCGCCGGGCGGAGUCCUGGCGUCCAGAGCGCGGCGGCCGCGGCGGUGCAGCAGAGGCGCCUCCGGCAGGAGGAGGGAGGCUUCCGCGAGGGCAGCCUGAGACCACCUUCCUUGUGCAGUACUUCAAACACAAGACGGAACCCGCUGUAG